GUGCUCACUUCAGCAGCACACAUGCUAAAACUGGAACGAUACAGAGAAGAUUAACAUGGCCCCUGCGCAAGGAUGAUGUGCACGUUUGUGAAGCGUUCCACAUUUUU
ensembl:snRNA U6 U6 spliceosomal RNA